GCAAAUGUGUAGCGAACAGAUUACUCACUAAGUGGUGUUAUGUUUAAAACGGACAAGAGGCCUUGACAGGAUAAAUAACGUCUCCUGUAACAGACGAGAAGUACAAGACAAGCGUGGCGUGAUAUAAAAAUCAGCUUUCUUGUUGUAGCCAUGAAUGGUAACCUAUACGCUAGGCUACCGAUAACAUGCCAAACAGGCUAUUAUUGAUUCGAGUUCCGCCAAGCGACAGCUGUGCAACGUAUUUGCAUUUUUUUGCAUUAUGAAGACCAUGGAAAGCCUUUUGACCGGGCCCCUCGGCAGCUAGCAGAUCGCCGUCUAAGUUUGCAGCUCUCCGGAACGACUUUUUAUACAAAUUAAAGAUGCGUGUAUCCAUAAAUUUGUGGGCGCGUGCCGAACACUGUGGAUACAUUGAAUGAAUGCAGCAAGGAUUGUGUCAUAUUUGACAGCUCCGUUGAAGUUUCAGCACGGACUCCGCUGAAACUUCGCCCGUAUGAAAUCUGCCUUCAUUAUCACCAGGAUGGUAAUAACAGCAUUGAUCGUAUUAAAAGUGUCAGGCGAUGAUUGCCGUGGUGACCGACUCGGUUUACGUCAGUGUGAUAGUACGACCACGGGAAUAUCUUCGCAGAAGGGUCUCGGGCUAAUGAAUUUAACUAAUGUCCUAUGUAUGUACAACAGGUUGAUGCAGAUAUUAUAUUUGAUAAACAGAUUUGACAGGUUUCUUUAAAUAUGUCCAUUAUUCAAAUGUUUUUUUUUUUUUUCGUAAACUUUAUGAUUUUUUAUUUAGGUGUGAAACCGUAUCAAAAUUUGCCUGUAUAUGUCUUAAAAGAGGCAUUUUAAUGGC